rnacentral:rRNA from 1 species
GUAUGGUGCAAGCGUUAUCCGGAUUUACUGGGUGUAAAGGGAGCGUAGACGGUUGUGUAAGUCUGAUGUGAAAGCCCGGGGCUCAACCCCGGGACUGCAUUGGAAACUAUGUAACUAGAGUGUCGGAGAGGUAAGCGGAAUUCCUAGUGUAGCGGUGAAAUGCGUAGAUAUUAGGAGGAACACCAGUGGCGAAGGCGGCUUACUAGACGAUCACUGACGUUGAGGCUCGAAAGCGUGGGGAGCAAACAGGAUUAGAUACCCUGGUAGUCCACGCCGUAAACGAUGACUACUAGGUGUCGGGGAGCAAAG